rnacentral:lncRNA from 1 species
GGGCGGGACUUGACCGGUGCGGCCCAUUUGGCCAGGCCGGUCAUGGUUUUCUUCCUUUUUUUUCUUUUAGCCUUUUCUUUUUCCCUUUUUCUCAUUUCUUUGGUAUCUUUUGAUUUUGAACUCCAAAUUGGUCCAAAUAAAUUCUAGAAAAUUUGUAAAAUCAUGUUUUAUCAUGAUUCAACUUUUCGGAGUUAUUUCCCUUCAAAAUAAAAUAUCUAAAAAUACAUUUGCCCUAUAAAUGCCUUUAGGGCUAUAUCUAUUUAAAUAAAAUAGUUUUUCAACUCCAAAUAAUUAUCCAAAAAUUAUGGGAUAGCUCAUUUAUACAAUAAACCCCUUUUGUAAAUAAAUCUUAUUGGUUUAAAGAUCCAAAGAUCAAAUGGGUGAUAACCCUACGGUUUAUAUUUAAUUAAAAACUUUUAAAGCCUUUUGAGAUUCAAAUUUUAAUUAAGAUAUGCAAUUGUGGCAUGAUGCUCAUGGAUUUAAUGCAUAUGUAAAAGUUUGAAAAUUUUGGGAUGUUACAUUCCGUUCAAGAUGAACACGUAUCUAGAUUGAGACCGAUAAUCGUCCAUGUCAGUUUGGAAAGUAGCAUCGGUGUAACCCUUUACAACGAGCUCAUCUUCACCACCAUAAACCAGAAACAUGUCCUUUGUCCUUCUCGUGUACUUAAGGAUAUUUGUAACAUCCCAAAUUUUCAAACCUUUACAUGAGCAUUGCACUCAUAAGCAUCAUGCCACAAUUGCAUAUUUGAAUUCAAAUUUUGAAUCUCAAAAAGGCUUUGGAAAGAUUCUUUAUUUCAUUUUAAACCCUAGGGUUUACACCCAUUUGAGCUUUGGAUCCUCAAACCAUUAAAGUUUAUAUAUAAAAGGGGUUUAUUGCACAUAUGAGCUAUUCCAUAAUUUUUGGAUAAUUGUUUGGAGUUGAAAAGUAUUUUAUUUAAAAUGAUAUAUGGCCCUAAAGGCAUUUAUAGGGCAAAUGUAUUUUUACAUAUUUUAUUUUGAAGAGAAACUACUUCCAAAAGUUGUAUCUUGGUAGAACAUGAUUUUACAAAUUUUCUGGAAUUUGUUUCUACCAAUUUGGAGUUCAAACACAAAAGAUAUCAAAGAAACGAGAAAAACAGAAAAAGAAAAGGCCUAAAAGAAAAAAAAAGGGUAAACCGGACCGCCCGGCCAAAAUGGGCCGAACCGGCCCAGUCCGACCGCGCCCGACCGACCCAGACCGCCCGGUCCGCGUGCGCGCGCCCGCAGUCGCUGACAGGUCGGGUCCACCUGUCAGCUGCGUCUUCCCCGAAGGAAAGCGCCGCCGGUCACGCGCGCGAUCCCCGCGCCGCCGCAAUCCUCGCGCCCGCCAUUCCUGACCUUCCCUAAGUGCGCAGCCCGCGUCCCUAUAAAGCCCCCGCCGCCGCGCUUCUUUCCCCUUUGUUUCCCCUCGCUAUCGUGCCGC